AUUGAACGCUGGCGGCAGGCCUAACACAUGCAAGUCGAACGAGUGGCGGACGGGUGAGUAAUGUCUGGGAAACUGCCUGAUGGAGGGGGAUAACUACUGGAAACGGUAGCUAAUACCGCAUACCAUCGGAUGUGCCCAGAUGGGAUUAGCUAGUAGGUGGGGUAAAGGCUCCCCUAGGCGACUAUCCCUAGCUGGUCUGAGAGGAUGACCAGCCACCUGGGAACUGAGACACGGUCCAGAUGCCUACGGAAGGAAGCAGUGGGGAAUAUUGCACAAUGGGCGCAAGCCGGAUGCAGAAAUUCCGCGUGUAUGAAGAAGGCCUUCGGGUGGUAAAGUAUUUUCAGCGGGGAGGCGUUACCCGCAGAAGAAGCACCGGCUAACUCCGUGCCAGCAGCCGCGGUAAUUC
rnacentral:rRNA from 1 species